AGCGAACGCUGGCGGCAGGCCUAACACAUGCAAGUCGAACGAACCCUUCGGGGUUAGUGGCGGACGGGUGAGUAACACGUGGGAACGUGCCUUUAGGUUCGGAAUAACUCAGGGAAAAUUGUGCUAAUACCGAAUGUGCCCUUCGGGGGAAAGAUUUAUCGCCUUUAGAGCGGCCCGCGUCUGAUUAGCUAGUUGGUGAGGUAAUGGGUCACCAAGGCUACGAUAAGUAGCUGGUCUGAUAGGAUGACAAGCCACAUUGGGACUGAGACACGGCCCGAACUCCUACGGGAGGCAGCAGUGGGGAAUCUUGCGCAAGGGGCGAAAGCCUGACGCAGCCAUGCCGCGUGGAUGAUGAAGGUCUUAGGAUUGUAAAAUCCUUUCACCGGUGAAGGUAAUGACUGUAGCCGGAGAAGGAGCCCCGGCUAACUUCGUGCCAGCCGCCGCCGUAACAC
rnacentral:rRNA from 1 species